UAGGGAAUAUUGGACAAUGGGGGCAACCCUGAUCCAGCCAUGCCGCGUGAGUGAAGAAGGCCCUCGGGUUGUAAAGCUCUUUUGUCCGGAAAGAAAAGCAUUCGGUGAAUACCCGGAUGUUCUGACGGUACCGGAAGAAUAAGCACCGGCUAACUUCGUGCCAGCAGCCGCGGUAAUACGAAGGGUGCAAGCGUUACUCGGAAUUACUGGGCGUAAAGCGUGCGUAGGUGGUUGUUUAAGUCUGAUGUGAAAGCCCUGGGCUCAACCUGGGAAUGGCAUUGGAACCUGGGCAGCUAGAGUGCGGUAGAGGGUAGUGGAAUUCCCGGUGUAGCAGUGAAAUGCGUAGAGAUCGGGAGGAACAUCUGUGGCGAAGGCGACUGCCUGGACCAGCACUGACACUGAGGCACGAAAGCGUGGGGAGCAAACAG
rnacentral:rRNA from 1 species